rnacentral:rRNA from 1 species
AGUGAACGCUGGCGGUAGGCCUAACACAUGCAAGUCGAACGGCAGCACAGUAAGAGCUUGCUCUUACGGGUGGCGAGUGGCGGACGGGUGAGGAAUACAUCGGAAUCUACUUUUUCGUGGGGGAUAACGUAGGGAAACUUACGCUAAUACCGCAUACGACCUACGGGUGAAAGCAGGGGAUCUUCGGACCUUGCGCGAUUGAAUGAGCCGAUGUCGGAUUAGCUAGUUGGCGGGGUAAAGGCCCACCAAGGCGACGAUCCGUAGCUGGUCUGAGAGGAUGAUCGGCCACACUGGAACUGAGCCACGGUCCAGACUCCUACGGGAGGCAGCAGUGGGGAAUAUUGGACAAUGGGCGCAAGCCUGAUCCAGCCAUACCGCGUGGGUGAAGAAGGCCUUCGGGUUGUAAAGCCCUUUUGUUGGGAAAGAAAAGCAGCAGGUUAAUACCCCGCUGUUCUGACGGUACCCAAAGAAUAAGCACCGGCUAACUUCGUG